UAGCCUACGGGACGCAGCAGUAGGGAAUAUUGCUCAAUGGGGGAAACCCUGAAGCAGCAACGCCGCGUGGAGGAUGGAGGUUUUAGGAUUGUAAACUCCUUUUGUGAGAGAAGAUAAUGGCGGUAUCUCACGAAUAAGCACCGGCUAACUCCGUGCCAGCAGCCGCGGUAAUACGGAGGGUGCAAGCGUUACUCGGAAUCACUGGGCGUAAAGAGUGCGCAGGCGGGCUUGUAAGUUAGAUGUGAAAUCCUGUAGCUUAACU
rnacentral:rRNA from 1 species